CCCCACACCAACUGUGUGUACACCUUCAGCCAAGCUUCAACAUGACCACAGCUCGUGGGGCAGGGGCACAAUGAGCUGUGGGGCAGGUUAUUCAUUCAAAGCAGGAGCCCAGAGAUUUCAGGGAACCAUUUGCUGCUGUUGGGGCAGAGUCCAUUUCCUCAUUUCUAGCAGAUGCUGCAGCACCAUCUCAUCACUCAGCCACUGUCUCUCUGCUGAUGCUACUCCGUUGUUUUGCAAGGGCAAUUCAGCUCUAUGUAUACACUGGGACCAAUUCUGCCCUACUGAAAAUACGUGGAAUUUCAUGGCUGACUUCUCCAGGAUCAGGAUCAGUCCAUAGAGUGCCCAAAUGCAAAUUUGGUUCCAUCCAUGAAGGCCCUGGUGCACCAGCCCCGGAAGUUUCUUCUCCCUCUCUCCUUAUGCAUAUGUAUAUGGCAGUGUGUCUGAGGUGAGAAAAUUCAAGAUCUGAGGGCACCAAAGAUUGCUGCAAAGCCUGGUGAAGACCACAGCAGUUGACCAGUGGAUUUUCUACCCAAGGGCUGCUGAUCCAAAGGGGCUCCGUGGCAGCAUGGUGGGAGAGAUAUGUGGCUGAUUGUCCUGCACAUUACAAACAACAGGGUAGCCUUCCCAUAGCAGUGAUUCCCACCUGGGAGGAGCUGACAGACUGGGAGAGGACUUGUCCACAUUUACACUGUGUCCCCAGUGCACUGUCCCAUAGUCACCUAACAGUCAGGUAAACUCUUGGGGUUUGACAUCUCAGCACCACUGGGAGGUGCAUGGGCAGUCAAAGGCCAGUGUUUGGGUGAGAAUGGGGACCCAGCCUGUGGGUCAGUGUGGAUAUACACAAUGUCGAGUCAGUGCUAAGGACUAGGAUGGCUAGAAACCAAUGCAUUUCCUACAGGAAAUGUGGUGUGCAUUCAUUAUGAAGUAAUGUCACGUUGAGGAGCCAUACAACAAAAGAAACAGCAGCAUACAAUUUAGGAAAUUUCACAAUUGGAUUAAUUAUCAAGACAUAUUGUGGAUGAUAGCAAAUAUAUGGCUGGUUAGCUUUGGCAUAAUACAAAAUAAAUGUAGACAUUAAUAAAUAGCUAUGCAUUUCUGCCAUAACUUUGAUGUUAAUUGUACAUUAUGUGUUCUAUAAUAGAUGAGCUGUUUUUCUA
ensembl:lncRNA